rnacentral:rRNA from 1 species
CUACGGGGGGCACCAGGCGCGAAACUUUUACAAUGUACGUAAGUGCGAUAAAGGAACUCUUAGUGCUUAUGCACUGCAUAGGCUUUUGUUAAGAGUAAAUAUCUUAGCGAAUAAGUGGUGGGUAAGACUGGUGCCAGCCGCCGCGGUAACACCAGCGCCACGAGUGGGAAUCACGUUUAUUGGGCCUAAAGCGUUCGUAGCUGGUUUGGUAAGUUUUGAGUGAAAUCGUUGCGCUUAACAAAACGACGUGCUCAAAAUACUGCUAAACUUGAGACCGGGAGAAGUCAAGGGUAUUCCUGAGGGAGCGGUAAAAUGCUAUAAUCUCAGGGGGACCACCUGUGGCGAAGGCGCUUGACUAGAACGGGUCUGACAGUGAGGAACGAAAGCCAGGGGAGCAAAGCGGAUUAGAUACCCUGGUAGUC